CUCGUAGCUCAGCUGAUAGAGCGUGCGCGUACAAAGCGUAGGCAACACCCAUGCGUGGGUUCGAAUCCCACUGGG
rnacentral:tRNA from 1 species